UAAAAAAUAAAAAAAUAAAAAAAUCUACAGAUGUCUCUGCGUCCUCUAUUUUUACUUAUCAGCAAUUCUUUAGGUCUCUGCAUUCUCCUUUCAGGUUUUUGGGUAUCCUUUGGCCGAGAGAACUGCUAGGAACCAGUUUUGCUGCGUCUAAGCUUAUUGUUGAACUAUGGAUCAAUCCUCAUCAAUGUGCUAAGUGUAAGUCCAAAAGCAAAAGCUAAUCCUUUUUCUUUUGUUCCCAUUUGUGUGGAUAUAGUCUGUAUAUACAUAAAGUAAAAGCUCAUGUCAAUAUAAUUCUCGGCUUACAAUCCUUCUGACACAUUUAGCUUUUGUAUGUGUGGGUGUCUGGCUUGUUUAUCCUGCAAAACAAAGUUGUGAGGGGCUGCUGAUGGAAUAGCUAUUACUGCGAUGUUUCUCUUUAAGACCGUUGGACCAGCUGGUGCUAGCAUGUUGAUCGCAUAUGGUCUUAUUUGUACUGAAAAUAAUAGUCCUGGUUGGAGUAGCUCUCACGUUCAAACCGUUUUUAACCACGGCUGGAAGAUGAAAUUCAUUGAAAGCAGUGGCAGGGAAAUGUAUGGAAGUUAACUCUUUUAGUUCUAGAUUCGAAAGUAACGGUUAUGAUAUUUCACUAACCUUAGGAUUUCAAUUUCUUUGUUUCUUGGGUUUUGACUUGUCUGAUUUUCUACCAAAAACUAUAGAAACAUCUAUGACAUUUUCAUAAAAGAUAGGGAUGAAGAUGGAAUAGAAGUGGACCCAGUCCUGAUGUGGUGGUAUAUGUACUCGGCAACACAAUAUAAUGACUGGGCCGGUUUGCUAAAAAACCGUUCACAGUUUCUUUAAUGCAGCUCGAUUGAAAGUGACUUUUAACGCCCCCUUUCUUUUUGGUACCAAACUAUUCCAGUUAGUGGUGGCGUUCGUACCAAAUGUAUAUAGGGUUUUGACAUUCACGUGGUGAAGACUUAGUUACCUACUUACCAUGUUUGAUUGAAUGAGA